UACGUAGGGGGCUAGCGUUGUCCGGAAUCAUUGGGCGUAAAGCGCGCGUAGGCGGCCCGGUAAGUCCGCUGUGAAAGUCAAAGGCUCAACCUUUGAAUGUCAGCGGAUACUGCCGGGCUAGAGUCCGGAAGAGGCGAGUGGAAUUCCUGGUGUAGCGGUGAAAUGCGUAGAUAUUGCUCGGAAGGCCAACGGCGAAGGCAGGUUACUGGUACGCAACUGACGCUGAGGCACGAAAGCGUGGGGAGCAAACAGG
rnacentral:rRNA from 1 species